AUUUGCAGCCCUAAACAAAUCACUGUUCUAAAAUUGAAAGUCUACCUACUGAUUUGCAGCCCUAAACAAAUCACCAAAGAAGAAACUGAUGUAUUGACUCACCAAUCGAAAAUUUCCCUAUGAAGAACUAGCAUGUGUGGAUUGGCAAAAGUGAGAAUGCACUUGGCGUAAUUAGUAGCGAGAUAGACAUGCUCUAGGGAGUAACAUGAUGAAAAUGUAGAAUCAGUAUAUAUAGGGAGUAAUAUGAAGAAAACAUGGAAACAGGUCCCCUGGAAAUGCAUAUGUUGAAGGCGAUGCAUCAAGUACGAGUUAUUUCCUAGCAGGCGCAACAGUCACCGGUGGCACUAUCACAGUGGAAGGUUGUAGCACAAACAAUUUAUAGCAUCAAACUGGCUGCAGUUGCUUCUCGUAAGGAACACAUAAAUUUGGAGCAAUGGUUGAACGAAAAUUUGAGCACAUACAAGGAUACUUUUUUCGAGGAUUGCCUCAAGUUCUUAAAAGAAAUACCUUCUGCAGCAAUAAAUGAUGCAUUUGCCAAUCCUUUUCAACAUUCCAGCUCUGUCAUGAAUCUUUAUCUAGAGACAAGUUCUACUCUUUUGAAGGUCCUUUAAGCCCAUUCUGGCCAACUCAUCUCCCACCAACUUUCUGAGGAAUUGAGAAGGUUGCAGGCAUCAUCUGUGCAUGCUAAUCCAAGAUUGCAAAAUGGUGGAGCACAUUGCGAACCUUGCUGGGAUCAAAACUCUAGUUCUGCCUAUGCUUGCAUUUAACGUCAUCAAUGGAGGAUCACAUGGUUUCACUAUCAACCUGAAUUUUGCGAACCUUGUUGGGAACAGAACUCGGACAUGUUUCCGAGGGGGUAAAACCCAAAGGCAGGGGAGCUCCGAAGAAGGCUCCUGCUAGAAAGAAAAUGCCGACUGCUAUUGAUAGUGAAGAGGAAGAUGAUGAGGUGCUCAAGCUGAAAGAACAACUGGUAGCGUCUAACAUUGAUUCUCCUUCAGAUCAAAUAGGUAUAUGAUCAUCCAUGUGCAGUAAGCUUUCGGAUCAAAGCGAAGCUGAGAAUAGGGUGUUAGUUGAUUGUAAAUUGAUAACCAGUAGAUGCACAUCCAUGGAGUUUUCACUUUCGAUUGUUGAGAAUCUAUUUGGCUGCGAGAAGGCAUUGGAUCUUGCUAUUAAUGAGAACUUUAAAUAGACAUAUAACUAUUAUGUUGGCAUUAUACUUUUGUGAAUGGAAAUGAAUGAUUGUGUUUGAUUAAAUGAAUGAAUGAUUUACCCAUGAAUUGGAUCUUGCUUAUAUGAGUUAUCAGGGU